CAAUGUCUUGUUCCCUAAUGGAACUGGGCCAUUUUAGAGUCUACAGGAUUCUGCUGGGAUAUUCUGCAUGCUUCUCUCAGAGCUUAUCAGCACAGGAAUGAAGCAUGCUAUUGCUAAACUGCCAGACAAGACAUUCCCUCAUGGACAUUCUCCAAGGGGCCUGGUAACCAUGGAGACGCCAUUGCUCGCUUAGUUAGCCAAGUGCUCCCCUCGCCGCGUGCGUUUCAUCUUGGAUAGCAUAAACAGCUCCAUAAAAACAGAUACCUAGAAAAAUCCUUUUCCUUGGCAAUCUACAAUAACCUUUAUCUGCACGGCUUUGGCAUGGCGAGACAGAGAGGAGAAAGGAGCGGGAGAGAGGCAGAGAGGGAGGAUCUGUAUAUAUGAAAGGACAAUAACGAUCUUUGGGAGGAAAAGAGAAAUCAAAAUUAACCCACAAACGCGGAUAGAUUCAAAUAACAGCCCGAACAAAAACAGUCUGCGACACCUUCAACGUCAAGGGAAGUCAAGGCA